UUUAAUAAUAUCAAUGGCCAAACAAUUAUAAGCAUAUUUUCAUUAUUUUUUUAACGCAACCCUUCCAGAUUCUUUGUUUGUUUCUUUGUUGAUUCAUAGCAACGCCCUUGACAACGAAAAUGCUUUUCUUUGGCAAUCUUCGGAAAUUACGUCACACCGGGAAGUGCGAGGGAAGUCCGCCAUAGAACAGUAUUGUUUGUUGCAUUGCUUCUCGGUAAGAUGCCACGGCGGUGUGUGGCGAUGUUUUGUUCUCACUCAAACGAAAAGUUGUAUGAGUGGCCAAAGGAUAGCAGGGCACGUAAAUGGACAUCUUUCGUUCGCACGAAGCGAAUGAAUUUCACGCCAUCUUGUCUGCUGCAAACACUUUGAAGAUGCCUGCUUCCUUAACCGGUCUGCUUAUGAUCAAGGAUUUGCCAAAAAUGCUUUUCAACUUGGCUCUGCAGAACCAACACAGAAAUUCAGGGGGAAAUAAUGGUGGCUCGUCCUUUCUGUGCAUCUCCAGAGUACCAAUGCUUUACCUCUACUCUUGGUGGAUGGAACUCAUCACCAUUCUCUAAUGACUUCUCUACCUUUCUGUACAAGUGCGUGUGUGUGCAGGGGUGUGCGUGCGUAUGUGUGUGCGAGACUGCUGAUUAAUGAGCAGCAAGGACUGAUGGAUUGUCCUGAUCACAGAAGGGACAGCCUACUCUGGACAGACACACAAAGCAGAAGGUCUACCGCCGAGUGCCAUCGGAUUUCUGAGCCAAUCUAUUGUCACAGGCCUGCCACACAUACAAGUAGAAGUCAACCUCAAUCUGAUAGGCCAUUGUCUUAUUCUCCCCAUCGCUGAUUCCUGCUCAUGGUAUUGAUCGCAAAGCUGUCCCCCUCACAUCUCAUCACAUCGUUCUGUGUGAAGGACCGAGUUUGUCUGUGAGCACAUAUUUGGACUUGUUUGAUAGAAAAUGUGGUUGAGGAUGCAGUGGAAGGAUCUUUUCAGACCGUGAAAAUGCUAAUAAUGUACCUACUUUCUGCUUUAAUUUCAAAUAAAUCGGAUACGCACUAAGACUUUAUCAAGGAGACAAAGUCAGUGGACUAUGUACACACACAAGAAACUUCAUUACGCACACCAUUGUGAAUGUGAAUAUGCAAGUACACAAUUGUUCAAAAGUUGAGGUUCACCCACCCGGACAAUUUGGUUCUCCAUGAAAAGUCACACUUUUAUUUGUCAAAUAAGUUUCAAAAUGAAUAGAAAAGAAACAGGGGUUGGACAAAAUGAUGGAAACAUCUUAAAAAAACAACAAAAACUAAUUUAAUAUGGUGUAAGUCCGCCUUUUGCAGCAAUUACAACCUCAAUUCUCUGAGGUAUUGAUUCAUCCAACUUGUGAAUUGUUUCCAAAGGAAUUUUAAGCCAUUCUUCGUUAGAACACCCUCUAACUCCUUUAGAGACUAUUGCGGUGGAAAUUGAUGUCUUAAUUGACCCUCUAAAACUGACCAUAAAUGCUCAAUAAUGUUGAGGUCAUUGUGCCGGCCAUACGAGAUGCUAGACUUCAUUAGAAUGUUCCUCAUGCCAUUAUUUAACAAUUAUAUUCGAUGCUUAUGAUGCCAAAAUGUUAGGUAUUUCCAUUAUUUUUUUCCAACCCCUAUAGUCAAGACAUCGACAAGGUUAGAAAUCAUGUUUUGUUUUUUGUUUUUCAAUUUGAAAUGAGUUUCUUCUUUAAACUUUUCACUCAUCAAAGAAUGCUCCAUUUGCAACAAUUACAGCACUGCAGAACUUUGCCAUUUUAGUUGUUACUUUGUUGAA